UUGCGGACGCAUCCCGACACUCCGUCACACAGGACGCGAUCCCAUCUCGGACCACUUUUUUCUUUUUUUAUUCAAUCUUUUUUUUUCUCAUUUUCUUUUCAUCAAUCACGUGCAAGUGACCGAACAUAUGAGAAAAAAAAAGUGUGGCUGCGCGGGCGGACAAAUAGAGGACACACCCAAUCACUUAUCAGUCGGGUCCGCGGACGUUUAAGAGUCAUAUUUGCAAUAUCCGGUUGUACACGCUAUUAUC
rnacentral:lncRNA from 1 species